rnacentral:lncRNA from 1 species
UUUUCAGAAAAUUCCUCUAUUUCUAUUUUAACUUGAACACACACAUUUAAUACUACUACAGACGCCACUUCCUCAUAUCCUCCACUGGCCAAAGAAAUCAGUCCGACAACCAAACGACCCCCCUCCAAUCAUCACCCUCCUUCGAUAACACUAAUAACAACAAUAACCAAAAGCAAUAAAACUGUCAAAACCCGCCAUCACCACCGCCUCAUUUUUCUUCUCCCUUUCAACUCUCUUUCGUCUUCACCAGCUUCAACUUUGAUCACCACUACCUUUGUUAUUGUUCCAACAUUGGCAUGGCCAACACCAAAAAUAGUCCUUCUAUUAGUAUAUAAAAUUAACUUUUAGGAAAGAAUCAGAGUUUGGUUUAACAUUUUAGAUUUGGAUUUGGAUUUCAAGCUUAUCUCCGAUCAUGAUUUCCUUUGGGUUUGUCAGAUUAGGGAUUUCAUGUGAAGAUUUUGGUUUUGUUCAAGUUAUCGGUUUAGUUUGAGGUUCUGGAUCCAUCUCUCUCCAAACAAAUAAUUGUUGGUUCAAAUUUUUUAAUUUGAGGUCCAAUUCUAUCUUUACCUUCUUAAUAGUAUCAUGUAUGGUUGUUUCUGUGGAUUUAUACUAU